AUUGAACGCUUGCGGCAUGCCUUACACAUGCAAGUCGAACGGUAACAGGUCUUUCGGGAUGCUGACGAGUGGCGAACGGGUGAGUAAUACAUCGGAACGUGCCUAGUAGUGGGGGAUAACUACUCGAAAGAGUGGCUAAUACCGCAUGAGAUCUAUGGAUGAAAGCAGGGGACCUUCGGGCCUUGUGCUACUAGAGCGGCCGAUGGCAGAUUAGGUAGUUGGUGGGAUAACAGCUUACCAAGCCUACGAUCUGUAGCUGUUCUGAGAGGACGAUCAGCCACGUUGGGACUGAGACACGGCCCAGACUCCUACAGGAGGCAGCAGUGGGGAAUUUUGGACAAUGGGCGCAAGCCUGAUCCAGCAAUGCCGCGUGCAGGAUGAAGGCCUUCGGGUUGUAAACUGCUUUUGUACGGAACGAAAAGUCUUGGGUUAAUACCCUGGGAUCAUCACGGUAGCGUAAGAAUAAGCGCCGGCUAUCUACGUGCCAGCCGCUGCCGUAA
rnacentral:rRNA from 1 species